GAUCCUGGCUCAGAGUGAACGCUGGCGGCGUGCCUAAUACAUGCAAGUCGAACGGAGAUUAAAUAGCUUGCUAUUUAAUCUUAGUGGCGCACGGGUGAGUAAUGUAUAGUUAAUCUGCCCCAUGGUGGAGGACAACAGUUAGAAAUGACUGCUAAUACUCCAUACUCCUUCUUAUCAUAAGUUAAGUCGGGAAAGUUUUUCGCUAUGGGAUGAGACUAUAUCGUAUCAGCUAGUUGG
rnacentral:rRNA from 1 species